UAGGCUAACACUUUGCCACUGGCUGCUUAGUCAUUACUUUAAAAAACAAAAACUUAUAUUUAAUUAACAAAAAUAGCUUCAAAGGCUUUUCUAAAGUAACUUAAUAAAAAAUAAACAAAAGAUAAUUGUCACGGGGUGACAAAAGAGAAGCGGAACUAAGUCCCGCCGGAAUUUUGUGUUCCCCUCGGGACGGUGUCGCGGUAACACCGGUCCACUUCCGGGUUGCGCCCGAUGUCACAAUAACAACGCUAAUGACAGAUUGACAUCUGGUGUGGGGAGUUUGAUGUGGCGAUCUGUGAGAGGAUUAUGGAGGCGGAGUAACCACAUAAAAAGAGAAGUGCAGAGACCAUGCGUGGUGGAUUCUAUUUGGUCGUUCGUUCUCCCGGCUAUUCUUCCUGGUUGGCUUGCCCCCGUGUGUGGCUCUUCUCUUUGGAUGUGUUCCCCUAGGAGAGGUGAAUUCCUGGGACGUUUGGGCUGGCGUGUGGAGGUAUUUGAGGACUAUUGUGGGGUUUCGGCUAUCUGGCUGUGCAACAGAUAUAUCAGCGAUCGAGUGGAGAUAUUCAGGACAGAAAGAGUGUGAGUUCUGGAAAGCAAGUGAAGACCAGGCCGCGCCAUCGCUAUCGGAGGGAAGUUAAGAGACCUGAUCUGGGACUUCGAUCAAUUGUAUACAUCUGGACUGGGAGUGAUAACGUGUGAAGUGGACGGAGCCAUCGUUGGAUCGCAGGAUCCUCUGGGCCGAACGCCGCAUGUGAUGUCCCUAUGAAAGGAGGUGGACACAAGAAUUAUUCCUUUCCCGGUCACAACCGAAGCAUCUCCCAGCCGUAAGCCCCACUACUUAUUCAAGAACACAUACUUACUGUUGAUUACUUACUCUGCUGUGCAGAUCGCAGGAUCCUCUGGGCCGAACGCCGCAUGUGAUGUCCCUAUGAAAAGAGGUGGACACAAGAAUUAUUCCUUUCCCGGUCACAACCGAAGCAUCUCCCAGCCGUAAGCCCCAUUACUUAUGCAAGAACACAUACUUGCUGUUGAUUACUUACUCUGCUGUGCAGAUCGCAGGAUCCUCUGGGCCGAAUGCUGUAUGUGAUGUCCCUGUAGAAAGAGGUGGACACACAAAUUAUUCCUUUCCCGGUCUUAACCGAAGCAUCUCCCAGCCGUAAGCCCCACUACUUAUUCAAGAACACAUACUUACUGUUGAUUACUUACUCUGCUGUGCAGAUCGCAGGAUCCUCUGGGCCGAACGCCGCAUGUGAUGUCCCUAUGAAAAGAGGUGGACACAAGAAUUAUUCCUUUCCCGGUCACAACCGAAGCAUCUCCCAGCCGUAAGCCCCAUUACUUAUGCAAGAACACAUACUUGCUGUUGAUUACUUACUCUGCUGUGCAGAUCGCAGGAUCCUCUGGGCCGAAUGCUGUAUGUGAUGUCCCUGUAGAAAGAGGUGGACACACGAAUUAUUCCUUUCCCGGUCUUAACCGAAGCAUCUCCCAGCCGUAAGCCCCACUACUUAUUCAAGAACACAUACUUACUGUUGAUUACUUACUCUGCUGUGCAGAUCGCAGGAUCCUCUGGGCCGAACGCCGCAUGUGAUGUCCCUGUAGAAAGAGGUGGACACACAAAUUAUUCCUUUCCCGGUCUUAACCGAAGCAUCUCCCAGCCGUAAGCCCCAUUACUUAUUCAAGGACACAUACUUACUGUUGAUUACUUACCCCGCUGUGCAGAUCGCAGGAUUCUCUGGGCCGAAUGCUGCAUGUGAUGUCCCUGUAGAAGGAGGUGGACACGAGAAUUAUUCCUUUUCCCGGUCUCGACCGAAACAUCCACGAGCUCUACUUACCCGGAUACCCCCCCCUCACUCCGGGACGGGUGACAGACUAUCCUGGCUCUUGCUGGCCCCGUACAGGCACGAACUGCCGACGACUCCACGCCUUCCCGGCGUCCGAGGUCUGGCUCCGUUCUGGUCGGGAGACACGGAAGGAACACUGAACUUUUAAAUUGCUUUUAACCAAAUAAAACCUUGUUCAUUUUUUUA